rnacentral:lncRNA from 1 species
GUGCGACAAGAUAAGAAAGAGGAGAGAAGGAUGGGGUGCAUGCUCCAUCUUAUUUUUGAUGCCAAAGAGAGAAAGAAAGGGGGCAUCCUGAGUCCUUAUUGGAGUGGGUUUUGAUUUAGUCAAAAUCCUUAUCUGAUUAAGUUUUGAUUUGAUCAAAAAUCUUAAACCUGAUAGAACUCUCAUGUUUCUAUAUAAAUCUCUUGAGAUGAGAUCUCAAAAUCCUAACCUGGAGCCCUAGCCCUGUGCCUCUCUUCCUUGCUCCAUGCCCACUCCUCCCCCCCCCC